AAAUUAAUAAUAACUAUGUAGGUAUCUACUACAGAUGUGUUAUGUUUUCUAUUUUUCUAUUUGAAAUUUAAUUUAAAAAUAUAAUUAGAAUAGUUAUAAACUAGCUGCAUGAAUUGACAAUAGUACAAUAUAAUAUUAUGAAAAUUAUUCUUUGAAAAACGAAUAAUACCUAACACUUGAUGUAUUUAUCACCCACAACAAAUGCUAACUCUUGGUGUGCGCUGUGCAUUUCAAGAACUAAGAUUCAUGUUGCACUACGAUUACGAAUGUCGAAUGGUCUACGAUUUACUACACACCUCACAUAGUGUACUCUAGGAAUUGGACGUUUUAUUCGUGUGUAGUGAUCAUACACCCAAAAACAACAGCACUUAAUGUCAGACAAAGAGAUUAUGGGAGAAGCCUACUGUAAAAGUGUUAAGUUGUUCCAGACAUUUAAAACUAAAAAUACUUGUUUGUUGAUGAGUUCUUAUCUUGGUGGAGAGUUGUCGAAUAUACUGAGAUAUAAAGGAUAUUUUAAUGUCUACCAUAUGUUCCUACACUAGAUAUGCCAUUGAAGCAUUCAGUUACUUACAUUCUCGCAAUAUAAUUUACAGAAAUCUGAAACCUGAAAAUUGAACAUCAGUACAUCACUAGUUGUGUGAAAUUUGACGAUGUUGGCUUUGCCAAAAAAACUGCGUAAACCUGGAUAUUCUAUAGAAAACCAGAAUACAUUUCCCUAAGCUAGCCUCAACAGAGGGUUUGAUUCCAAAUGAUUCUUUUGGAAUACUUAUUUAAAAUUUUGUCUGUAGGUUUUGGAAACAAUAAAUCAACUGCCCCAGUAAACAGAUUACAAAUCUAAACUUCUCCCAGCAGCUGUGAUUAUCGGACAAAAUGUAUCAAGGAAGAAAUUACAAAAACAUUGGAUAAACAGAGUAGUUACUACCUACUAUGUUGUGUUGCACCAACUAGUCAUAUGAACUAUGAUAUAAUAUGAAGACUACCUACAUGCUUCAACUAGCACAUUCAAACUUUCAAGCAAAUAAUGAUUUAAAUGUAUCAAGGAAGAAGGAAAAUGAUUGAAUAAACAAAGUUACUAUUUCCUAAAGGUUACAACUGUCACAUUUAAACCUUCAUAUAUAUCAUGCAAGUUCUGAUGUGUUGCAAUAACUAUAAUGUAUUUGGAAUGAUAAAUCUGAACUAACAUAACAGAUUAACAAAGUUGCAGUCCGUUUUUGUAAGCCAUUCAUAGACAGUAAAUAUGUACUAAAUGUAUCAAGGAAGAAAGGAAAGCAUUGAAUGAACUAAGUUACUUUCACCUUCAGGCUACAAUUACCACAUUUAAACUUUCAUACAAGCCAUAUCGUGGAAACAUCAAAUUUAAACUGGAAAUAAACAAAAAUAAUGAUCCUGAUCCCAACCCAAAGAAUUAUUGAUUCUGGACUUUGAUAAUGGAACGAGGAUGAUCUAGUCAGAUCAGGGGAAUAAUUUCACUCAGCGAUGACCAUAGAGUGGCUGGACCAUGGGUUAUAAAUCUAAAUUAUAUUCUACCGAUCUCAGGAAUCACUUUGUCAUAUAUUUUAGAUUUGAAUUUUUUUUAUUUUUAAUCUUUAGUUCUAUUUUAUCAACAUCAGUAAUACUAUACUAAAUAUAUACUGUUAAUGUUUUAUGUUAAAACAACUUAUAUUUGUAUAAUCUAUUAUAAAUAUUAUUUAUUUUUCAUUGUUCUAAUCACAUAGUUGAAUCAUUUGUUUUAUGUGUUCUGGUUUUUCACUGAUUUCAUAUCACUGUUUACUCCUAAAUUAUAAUGCUGCUGAAAUCAUAUAAAUCUAUGGUAAAUUUAUAUUUUUAGUACAAUAUAAUAUUUAAUAUGCAUGUUAAUUUAGAACUUUUACACUUGAACAUGACAUAUUGACAUAUUGUAUUGAACAAAUUUAAAAAUGAAUUUUAUUUGUAUUUUUUUUCACAAUGUAGUUUGACUUACUUUUAAUGUUAUCACAUUUUUUAUAUUUAAUUUAAAAAAAAAAAAUGUCUAAAAAUAUUUGGUGAAUAUUUUUGUUAAAAUAUUUAACUGGCUAAUAGUCAAAAGUAUGUCCGUUUAAUUUGUGAUAAAUUUUAUGGGGAAAAAGAUGUAUACAUUAUAAAUUAGUGAUAAAUCUAUGGCUCAAAGAAUGUAUCAAGAAGUCUUGAAAAGUCGGUACAAUUGACAGACAUUAAUUGUUAAUAUACAUGCAACAUGUAGCAUUUAUUCAACAAACAAUAUUUUUUUACUAUUUAAGGCAUUAAAGUUUUUAUGUAUGUUUUGUACUUAGCUUCAGUAUUAUCUACUAUCAAAGCGAAUGCAUAACUAUUUUUGAAGUGAAAACUUUUUAGGCUCGUUUAGCACUUUUUGUGGGUACUGAAUUAAACUGAGCCGUCACGCUCGGUUAUGUAACACUCAUUUCGGGCGAAGUCGGCUCGAGUCGAUUAAGCAUGAGAGGAACAGUUAGCAGAACAAGAGAGAAAUGUAGUCGAAGCUUCACUGCUGUACUCGCCCAGCAGAAUUGGUUAGGGUUAGGUUGUGUUGGUUAGGAUGUUAGGAUGUGUGUGUGUGUGUAUUUAUACACAAUCAUAAUUAAGUGCAUUGUAAUAGUUAUUAAUUUAUCAAUAUAGAACCCAAAAAAACUUGUAUUUCGUAUUAUUAAUUUCGCCUUGUUGAAGUUUUCACUUCUGUCUUGAAAAUGACAAUUUUUUUUAUUGGUAACAGUCCAUCUUUCCAAAAGCAGUAAUUUUUGUUUAUAGUAAUUAGCUUUCAAUUUUGUCCUUUUUGAACCAAUUGAAACUUCGGAAUGCAAUGGUUCCACUGUAUGGGAAAGAUUUUUUUUCAUUUUCCCAAAAUUCAUUCUUGAAUUGCUCCUAAUAAAAGUUAUAUUUAAGAUCAUAUACAAUAUGUAGUAGGUGAAAUGUAAAUUACAUUAAAAAAAAUUAAUUGAAUGCCACAUUGUCGCCACAAAUGUUGUUAGGCUUAAUAUUGUAGUGAGUUUACCUAUAGCUACUGUUAUAAUUAUUGUUAUAAUAUAACUAACAUGACUAGAAAAGUUAAAAUAUUGUAAACAAGUCACCAUACAAUCAUUACUGGUGUCCAAUAAUAUUCUUGACUUUAAGAUAGUUUAUACAUUCAUUCACUUUAAUAUAAAUACACAAUUUGUUCGGCAGAAAGCAAAUUUGCCAUGCUUCAUGCUUGUAAACACUAUCUUAUUAUAC